GACUCCAGCCGGAGUGGAAGCCCUCGGAGGUCAGGGGGCGUGGUCUGGCAUCUCGACCAUCUUCGUCACCCACUUCGUGUGUGUCUGGUAACUACCCGUUGAGUGAAUGAUGAUUCCUUCUUUCUAAUUCCCUGGGGGAUGCAAAUCAAAAUGGAGUAAAAGGCCACCCUUUGGAGUGACAGGGAGCCACUAGAGGCUUUGGAACUGAGGAGUGACACGAUGUGACAAUGCUUUGAACUUUAUGUGCAACCAUGAAAGUAUUACAAUAACUGUCCUGACUUUAGACAAGGGAUUCUUUCUGCUCAUUCUAAAUAUGCUUUUAAGACUGGAGCACCUCCAAUCCAGACUCAGUGUGUUUUAUCUCUGAAUCCGCAGAACAUUGCAUCUAGGAGAUAUUGGUUGAAUGGAUACACUUUUGUGUAUUUUUAAAGAAUUUUUUCAGGUAUGUUUUUAUGGUGUUGUAAUCACAGUAUCCAUUUCAUGUUUCCUAAUGGCUGCUUACUAUUUUAUUAUUAGUUGUUAUACAUGUAUUUUUCAUUAACUAUCAUUUUUGUGUCUGUGAAGUAAUAUAUUGUAUGUGGAUAAACUAUAAUUCCAUCAUGCAUUUCCUCAUUAUUCAACAUUUAAGAUUCUCUCAGUUCACCAGAAUAAUAAACAAGACAUUCAUGAACAUUUUUUUAAAGUAGCUUUUUAUGUCAUUUAGGUUAUUCUAGUAAGGUGGUAAGGUUUUUUGAGCAAGGAUUGUGGGGGACAUCAUUAAUAUUUACCGACGCCCAUCUCUCUGCUCCUUUGGGGCAUGCACAAAACUUCCUUUCUUGGUCUUCUUGCCGCUGGGCAGGGCUAUGGGACUAGUUCUGUCCAGUGCAACAUGAGGGGAGUGACACGGGAACCCUGCCUCUGCACCAGCCAGAGAUAGGUAUGUUGAGUGAGCAAGAAGUGAACUUUUGUUAUGGUAAACUACUAGUAUUCCAGAGUUAAUUUGUUACCACAGCUAACCUAAUUUAUCCUGAUCAAUACAUAGACUUUGAACUUCAUUAUGGAUUAAAGUAUAUAUUGGAUAACUGCAAGAUGACUAGUAGAUAGUAGGUAACUAAUAAACAUCUAUUAAAUAAACUAAUGGGACUGGUUGCCAAUAAUAUAAGAAGAUACAAAUUUUAUUGCUGUAUUAACAGUGAUGGGUUUAUUACUUGAUUGUUCUUGACAAUUUAAUGGGCAAAAAUAUUGUCUUGGCCAACAAGAAAUUGGCGAGUUUCUUUGUUUUAUAGGUAAGGUUGAACAUUGUUUCGUCUGUCAUUAGCUGUUUCUUUUUUGGGGUAUUAUUUAUUCAAAAUCUCUCAUUCAUUCCCAGUAACUAUUGAUUGCAUGCCUUCACUGUUCUAGAUAUUAGGGAUGUAGUGGUAAAUAACCUAUUACAGAACUUUUAUUCUAGGAGGGAAGAAUAAUUACCCUAAAUACUUUAGGUCAUGGUAAGUGCUUUGGAAAAUAAAGUAAGGUCAGUGGCUUAAAGACAGACUGGGUGUGUUCAGCACAGGGUGGCCACAGGGCACCUUCCUGAUAGCAUCACUUUUGAACAAAGGAAACCAGCCUGGAAGUUAUUAGGAAGAAGGGCGUCGCAGGCUGAGGGCCCGCACGUACAAACGCCUUGUGGCGGGGGCAUACUCGGUAUUUUGGGGAUACAGCCAGAAGCCAGUCCGGCUGAAGCAGAGUGAGUGAGGGGCGAGGAGUAGGAGAUGAGACUGAAGAUGUAAAAGGCUAGAACAUGUAGGAUCUUCUAGGCCCCUGUUAUGUCUCCUGACUUUUCUUUGGAGUGAUAUGGGAGCCGCCAGGGGCUUUGGAGCUGAGGAGUGACGUGAUGUGACCAUUUACAAGGAUUUCUCUGGUUUCUCUGUGGGUGAGAAUAUGGGGGAGCAAGCAGGAGGGGAGCAAGCAGGAGGCUCUGGCAACGUUUCGAUGGAAGACGAUGGUACGUUAGAUGAGGGUGACGCUGUGGAUAGAUGAGAAGGGGUCGGAUUCUAGCUACAUUUUGUCAUAAAAUUAACAGGGUUUGAUGAUAAACUGGAUAUGGGAAUGGGUGAAAGGAAGGAUCAAGAACAUUUCCAAGGUUUUUUGACUUGAGCAACUAGAAAAAUGGAAUUUCCAUUUACUUUAUGGCUUCACUGAAUGACAUUCGGUGUUUUUAACAAGUCUGGGGAAAGCCAUGUCAGAAAUGGAAGGAGCAAUGCGCUGCGGUGGGCGUAGUGCUUCUUUCCAGGUGCGGCAGGGAGGGGGGAGUGAUGGCUUGAGAGCACCUGUGGUCUGAGUGAGACCCCAGCAGCCGUGAAGCAGCUCUCGGUAUCUUCCCUCACUCUCCUUGCCAUCUCUCUUCCACUUACAGAAGCACGGCCUCUAGCAUGGCUGCCCCUGUUGGCAUCACCAAGGUACUGAGUGGCACGCAGGUGCGCACACUGUGGAAGCCAGAGGAGGUAAAGAAGCAAGGCAGGUGGUGCUCUUCCUCCUGAGCGAGGGAAGAGGGCCAGGAGAUCCUGGUAGGUGACGUGGGCCAGGCUGGCCCUGACCCCAUGCCACCUUUGUCAAGACACUGCCUGACAAGGACUGCUGCUAUGCUCUCUGUGGCCCAUCCUAGGGGACAGAGAAGAGCAAGCAGCAGGAGCUGGUGCUUAUCGUCUGGACCCUGAGUCUGCACCCCUUAAGAUCGAAGUGAUCUGUGCCAGCUCCCAGGAUGCCAUCAAGCAGAAGCUGAGGGGGAUCAAGCAUGAAUUAUAAGCAAACUGCCAGGAAGAGGUCAGGAAUGUCUGCACCCUGAUGGAGAAGCUGGGGGCAGCGUCAGCCUUCCCUGGAAGGCAAGCCUUCACGAGCCCCAUGCAGCCCUUGUCUGCAGUACCUGCAGCCCCGGACCUGCCCCCAGAGGUUCCAGGCUGCCCGCUCCCUGCCCGCUCCCUGCCAGGACUGAGGGGUUGGAGGGAUUCCAGCACAGGGAGGGCCAUCCCUUCACCUCAGUUGGCAAACAUACCCUGCACGGCAUGGACUUUGCUCCUUCCUCAUACCUGAUGGUUCAGGCCUUUCCAACCCACUUGUGACCUUCUGCUUGCUCUUGAGUUGAAGCAGAGCACGUGCCCCGGAUGCCACAGUUUUUAGGCAGAGUCUGUGCUUGUUGCACUGAUACCCCUACCUGCCACUGAGUUCUCCCCCUUCCCACAUUGCCAACUUCUAACCACAGAGUGACCCUGUGCUCAUCUGUUUAGACCUCAUAGAAAGGGAAUAUUGGGCAAAGGACUCCUUCCCGAUCUGACUGGUUUCUCCUCUCCUUUUCCCUGGUUGCAGCCACUCAUGAAACCAAGAAAUGAGCAAGGAAGCAUGCUCUCGGAGGCUUCUAGAAGUCCUCUUGCUCCUUUGAGGAGAACCAGCCUUAAGAUGAACUUGACAUGGUUAGCAGAGAAGAGAGAUAAAAAGCAAGCCGGGCCUUUUGUGACAUGGUUGAGUCACUACGUAUAUCCAUCCUCACCUGAAAUCUAUCCAGAGACUGUUCGGUUCCACGAGCCAAUAAACUCCCCUUUAUUGUUUA